UGGUGUGCGGAGCGGGUCAGGCUGUGCGAGGGCGGUCCGGGGUGGCACAGGGGAUGCGGAGCGGGGACGGGAUACCGCGGGAAGCACGCAGCGAUGUGAGGGGCCAGGGAACCGCGCUCCCGGCGCUGCUGAGCCCUGUGUUAGCGCCUGCUCUGUUCCGAGGCAGCACCGACACCCCGCGUACCGGGUUGGAAUGUCCUUUACAGCAUGGACCAUCCCGCCCCGCUGCUUUAUGGAACUGGCAGGAGUGACAGCAGGCAGCCCCCUCCUGGCACAGCUUCCGUCAUCUCCCGUGCGUGUGGCAGCACCGGCCUCUCCGUCAGUCCCUGGGCUGGAGAAAGCCAAAAGCUUGACCGUCCUGAAUCUUCAAAUUACAAACAUACCCAGUCCAGACUCAGAAUGAGCUGCAGGAACUCUCCAGGUCUGGCUGCUAGAGACAAAGCAAAUGGAUAAAUCUACUGUGACGUCUCUCUGCAGGUGAAAUGCCUCCUGUCCCUCAAGUGGCUCAGCAGAUUAGCCAGGAGGAAAACCAGCAGCAAAAUGGACCAAAUUUGUCAAGUUGGCUUAAUUCCUUACCUGCUGCAUAUGACAGGAACCCAGUUCUGCCCCAGCAGGUACAGCCAGCAGGCUGGGAUAGGAACAAUGUGCUUGUGGUCCCAGCUCCGGCUCCCUCACAACAACAGGUAUAUUUGUAAAUUAUACAGCAUUUAUAUUAUAUAACAUUCGUUCAUUAUCUUGUUUGGAGAUUGUUGACCUUUGUGUUUUGUGUGGUGACUUUGUGGAUGGUGGAAUUUAUCACUCCAGCCUGGGGAGAAAGGAGCAAAUAAUUCCAGUAGUUUAUGCAGGUGACUUUGCCAAGCCUGAUAAUUUGCUUCAGACAGCUGUGGCGUAGCUCAUCUGGGUAUGAAUCUUCCUUUACAAAAAUACUUUUGUAUUUAAAUUUAGAAUGUCUGUGGAUACCUGUGGCUUUCAUUUGGUUUUAAUUAGUGCUGCAGAUAUACAUGAUUUUUCUUGAAGAAAGGAAAGGGGUGAGGAGGAAUCAGACACAUUCUCUAGGGAGGUAGCAUUUGUUCUUGUAAUAAAGUCCUAGAAGGAGAUUUAAUUAAACAGAAUCCAUUAUUUAAAAAUUUUAUGCGCCAUUUUAGAAUAAAGGAGGGGGAAUGGUAAUGAAAAUUUGUGCUGCUUGUGCUGACUUGACAACAGUUGCAGGAUGCUUACAUGUGUUAAUAAAAAUGCCAGAAAAUAAAUGUGUUUUUAUAUGAACUUUUUUGAGAAUUUUGUCCAUCUGCCAUCUGGCAGAGUAUUUAAAUUCUGUGAAAUUUCUCACUGAAUCAGCCAGCACUUCGAUGAGAUCUAGGGGUACUAUACCUUAGGAGGAAAAACAGACGUUAUCAAGACUGAGUAGCACUGCAUUCCAAGCUUCUCUCCUGAUUUUUUGUAUUACUGCUGCCUCACAAAGUCCUUCAGAGACUUUACAAAAAGCUGCACAAAAUGCAUUAUUCAUUGUCCUUUAAUAAAGUGUGACUUCAAACACCAUGGAAUGUUUCCAAGGACUGAAUAAUCAUUUACUGAAUAAUCAUUUCUAUUGAUUAUCCAUGUAUUUUUCAUAGUGUCUGUCUUGGUUUUGUGUUGUGCAGUAGGAAACAUAAGUUUAAUUAUGUUUAUUUGAAGAAAAAUGAAUUCUGCAGGGAAUAACAGCACUGAGGAAAGAAGGUUUAUGGUCUCUGAAACCUCUGCCCAAACUCAGCACAAAUCAUACCAUGUUGUUAUGAAAGAAAUGCAGUGGAUGGCAACUGACUUCUUUUUCAAGAAAGAAGAUGAAAGACUGUAAUUGCCAAGAGAGUGAUGUGAAUUUGAUAUUUUCAACCAGAAAAGAAUAGGCAGCAUUUUCAUGGACACAGACUGGCCUCUCCUUGAUGAGAUUGGCAUGGAAAACCAAAUUAAUUGCUACAAAGCACAAAUGCUGCCAAAACUGAAGGUAACUGGAAAGUUUAUUGAAGACAUCUCCUGCUCCCUUUCAUCAGCCAGACUUAAGCCAGUGAAGUUCAAACCAAAAAGAAGCUUUAUCUGGUCACAAUAGAUUCAGAAAAUAAUUUUGAAUUUAAAGGGUAUCCAAAGAGAAAAAAGACAACUAAAGGAACACCUGGAUAAAAUAUACUUCUGGAAUGAGUGUCAUUAUUCCAGAAUCCUCCUGUAUGGCAGAGACCUGUUGGAAACUUGCUCUUGGAUCAGUGAAAGAAAAAUCUCUCAGCAUUGUUCUGCCAGGAUUAACAAGUGGUGCUGGGCAGGCUUUGCAAAUUGCCUUCCAUAUUUCAGCAUUUCAGAGGCUCUAAGGAUCCAUUGCAGGAAAUCAUUCUGACACUGAAACAGCAACAGAUUGCCCUGAAGGAUGUUAUUACCAGAGACCUGUGUGUGUUCCAGCUGUAGCUGUUGCUCCUCCAUGUUUGUGUGGCACAAAUCCUUCUUACACAUGGACCCAUGGAAUGAAACUCUUGCAGUUCAGUCUCGAGGAACAGAGAUGGUGCAGUGUGAUUCAGGCAAGCUGGGAGCUCUGGCUGUCCUGCUUUGGAAGAUGAAAGCAGAAGGGAGAGCAGGUGCUGAUUUUGACACAGAUGAUUGCAGUGUUUAACAUCCGGGAGCUUUUCCUGCAUUUCCGUUUCCUCACGUGAGGGAGAGUUAGUGAGAGUGGUGCUCACAGCUGGCAUUAUCUGGUGUCAGUCACACAGGUGUGAUUACUGUUGUCUUCUAUGACUGAUUUAGAUCUGCUGAUGGAUGCAAAGAGUAAGGAGUGGUGUGACAAAAUUGCAAGAGGCAGAGAUAACCACACAUACAGGCUUGUAAGUGGUAAUUCUGUUGAAGAGAAUCUGUUGAAAAAGAGUAUUAAACAUAUGAUUCAAGAACUGGCUGCUCAGGGAGGGGAUUGUUCAACAGACCUUUUAUCUCAGGUACUGUAACAUUAAGAACAUUAGCAGUUAUUUAAUGAUACAUUAAAAAUUAGCAUUUUACUAUAUCUGACACAGAAUUUUGAAAAGGUAGUGAUUUAUUCAUUUCUAGGCUUAUUUGGGAACCAGUGAUAUGUGUUCACAGUUCAGCAGAAAUCCUGAACUGUCAGCUCAUAUAGAAAAUCAGAAGGUAACAAUAUCUAGUAAUAAAGGUUUGAUUGUUUCAAUGAUAAUGUUACCCUUUUAUUGACAUUGUCUUAAUCAAAAGCAACAUCUGCAGCAAAAGGUGUCAAAUACAUCUGUAAUUUGACUUUUCUGAACUUGAUUUUAAGAUGACUAAAAUUUUUUUUGACAUCAUGCCUUAUCAUAUUGAAUACUUCAAAACAUGUUUCCAUAAGGGUCUUUGCUCUGAAUAUGGAAAAGAGGGAUCCAGAACGUUUACAGAAGAGAGACUGUCUGAGCUAAGAAAUCAUUUAGAUUGAGAGUUGUGUGACUCAGGAAACAUUAUGGUUCCUACUCAGAAGAGCUGGCCAGCUUGGUGGACCAGAUCUGGAGAUUUCUCUUAUUUUAUGUAAACCUUUAGAAAAGGUUGGAAUUUACUUUCUGUAAAACAACCAAGUGGCUUCCGUAAAGUACCUUGUUUUCAAUCCAUUUACAUGAAACAGUUCUGUGCAAAUUUAAAUACUGAAACACUCAGGGGAGGCAAUUUGAGCCUGUUGAUAUAUCUGUUCAUGUUCUGAAACAUUUAAAUUACCAAGUGUUCUCCUGAGGGUUGUGACGUGCAUUGAACUAAAUUGUAUCUUGUGUUGUAAAACUGUUUUAUAGUCCUGUGCCUUGUCAGAUAAUUUGCAUUUUUUUCUUAAAGGUUUUGGAUCAUGUCAGUGAUGUAGUUCUCUUGUAACUAUGUUUAUCACUCUCCAAAGCAAUGCCAAAAUUAUUACAUAAAGACCAUUGCAGGUCCAGAGGGAAAGGUGUUGAAACAUGAUUUGCAUUGUGAGAACUUGGGGGUUCCUGGGGUCUUUUUUGUUGUAGGUUUUUUUUUUCUUUCUUUUUUUUUUUCUUUUAAUUCCUCAUUGCUGUUAGAGUACUACGUGAGUGUUUACUAAGCAGAAACAUAACUAGAUUUUAGAAUUCUGAAUAGCAAAUGUUAGUAAAUACCUUCUCCUAACAGCAUUACUAAUAUAGGUUAUAUUUAUUACAUUUCCAUACACUUAGGAAUAUGAAUUUCCCCAAUGUUAUGAAAAUAUGACAUUGGAUGUAUCAUUUACACAACCAGUAUGUUAAAAAUAAGGGAGGAAAACUGUUUAAGUGGUAGGAUAUGAAUUGUUUUCAGUCAAGGCUAUUGAUAACUAUGAAUUUUGAGACAGGGCUUUUGCUUAUGUAUUUUUGUAUUAUGUAUUUUUUUGCUUAUGUAUUUUUGGUACCUAAGCCUUCACUUUGUAUUUAUGUAGAAUGUAGGUGGUCAUCCUCUUUGUGCUAAAGACUGGAAUUCUGGGUGUAUUCAAAUCUAUAUGAAUCACUUUGAGUUGAUGACAGUGACUACUAGAAAUAGAUUUCUUUAAGUUUACCUCUACUGUCAAUAAUUUUUCUCAGAUUUAACAGGAAAUCACUGGUGGCCUGAUGCGUGAAUGUGUUUUCUCUUAAGCACGAAUGUAAUUCACGGGGACCUUUUUCUUAUCAAAGGCUCUGUGCUAACCUUUAGCUUUAAGGUAGUGUUUACUGUCCAAGAAUCAAAUCUGUGCUCGUGCUGAUGUAAAGAAAAGCCUGAAGUGCUUCAGUAUUGCUCCAUCUGAUGUACCAGAAGUCCUUCCUCAGGUCUGGGUAGAACCUCCUGAGCAUCAGGGUGUGCCCGUUGUCUCCUGUCCUGUUACCUGGCACCACCGAGCAGAGCUGCUCCUCUCAGCCGCCUCUUCCCGAGGCUGAACAGCGCCGGCUCCCUCAGCCUUUCCCCGCAAGAGAGAUGCUCCAGCCCCUUCACCACCUUUGUUUCCCUCGGCUGGCCCCGCUCCAGACGCUCCCAGUCUCUCCUGCCCUGAGGAGUACAAGCCCCGCGAGCUGCAAUGUGCAUUUUCACACCGUGGCUUGAAGAGCCAGCCCUGCUCCCUGCGCGGACAGAAACCACCCUUUGCUCUCUCCUUCCCCUCCCCUGUCUCUGCUAUAAUAAAUAUCCAUUUUUCUGCCCUGUC